CUGAUUGGACAAACUUGACUUAGGGACGGUGUCUGUCUCCGAUGGGGCUUGGUAAUUGGGUGGACUACGGAGAAAGGUAAAGAAACAGAUACAGAGUGUUUGCUGUGGACUCCCAUUAUUGUCCCAGUUGUUUAGAAAAUAUGCCGUCGGCUGAAGCCAAACUAAAAAAGAAUAGACUAGGGGAAUGUAUUUUGGGGAGGAGAACCACAGAGAUGUGCCAAUUGCUUUGACUGUCCUGGCUGCAUGCACACCCUCUCUACCCGGGCCACGAGCAUCUCCACCCAGCUUCCAGAUGACCCAGCCAAGACCACCAUGAAGAAAGCCUAUUACCUGGCAUGUGGAUUUUGUCGCUGGACGUCUAGAGAUGUGGGCAUGGCAGACAAAUCUGUAGAUGAACAAAUUGAUUGAAUAUUACCAGCAGCUUGCUCAGAAAGAGAAGGUUGAGCGAGAUCGCAAGAAAUUGGCACGACGUA
rnacentral:sRNA from 1 species